CAGUCGCCGCGGUAAUACGAGGGGGGCAAGCGUUGUUCGGAAUUAUUGGGCGUAAAGGGUGCGUAGGCGGCUUGACAAGUCUUGUGUGAAAUCUAUGGGCUCAACCCAUAGUCUGCACGGGAAACUGUCGGGCUUGAGAAUGGGAGAGGUGAGUGGAAUUUCCGGUGUAGCGGUGAAAUGCGUAGAUAUCGGAAGGAACACCUGUGGCGAAAGCGGCUCACUGGACAAUAACUGACGCUGAUGCACGAAAGCUAGGGGAGCAAACAGGAUUAGAUACCCCCGUAGUCCCUGUCUCUUAUAC
rnacentral:rRNA from 1 species